UACGAAGGGUGCAAGCGUUACUCGGAAUUACUGGGCGUAAAGCGUGCGUAGGUGGUUUGUUAAGUCUGAUGUGAAAGCCCUGGGCUCAACCUGGGAAUUGCAUUAGAUACUGGCAGGCUAGAGUGCGGUAGAGGAUGGCGGAAUUCCCCGGUGUAGCAGUGAAAUGCGUAGAGAUCGGGAGGAACAUCUGUGGCGAAGGCGGCCAUCUGGACCAGCACUGACACUGAGGCACGAAAGCGUGGGGAGCAAACAGG
rnacentral:rRNA from 1 species